rnacentral:rRNA from 1 species
GGAUCUCUUAAAGACUGUUCUCAGUUCGGACUGCAGUCUGCAACUCGACUGCACGAAGCUGGAAUCGCUAGUAAUCGCGGAUCAGCACGCCGCGGUGAAUACGUUCCCGGGCCUUGUACACACCACCCGUCACACCAUGGAAGUCUGCAAUGCCCGAAGCCGGUGGCCUAACCACUUAUGUGGAAGGAGCCGUCUAAGGCAGGGCAGAUGACUGGGGUGAAGUCGUAACAAGGUACC